UUGCGGUUAAAAAGCUCGUAGUUGGAUCUCGGCAAGUAGAGGGCGGUAUGCUUCGUAGCAUUACUGCCCUAUUACUUGUAGUUUUGCCAGAGGUUCCUGGGUGCUCUUAAUCGAGUGUCUAGGGAUGCUGGCAGGUUUACUUUGAAAAAAUUAGAGUGCUCAAAGCAGGCUAUUACGCUUGAAUAUUCGUGCAUGGAAUAAUAGAAUAGGAAGUUGUUUCUAUUUUGUUGGUUUUCGGAAAUCGACUUAAUGAUUAAUAGGGACAGUCGGGGGCAUUUGUAUUCAAACGACAGAGGUGAAAUUCUUGGACCGUUUGAAGACAAACUACUGCGAAAGCAUUUGCCAAGAAUGUUUUCAUUAAUCAAGAACGAAAGUUAGAGGUUCGAAGGCGAUUAGAUACCGCCCUAGUUCUAACCAUAAACGAUGCCAGCUAGCGAUCUGAGGACGUUUUUUUUGUAGACUCCUCAGGAAGCUUCCGGGAAACCAAAGCGUGUGGGUUCCGGGGGAAGUAUGGUUGCAAAGCUGAAACUUAAAGGAAUUGACGGAAGGGCACCACCAGGAGUGGAGCCUGCGGCUUAAAUUGACUCAACACGGGAAAUCUCUGUCCUGCUAAAUAGUGUCAGCCUCUCUUCUGGGCUGAC
rnacentral:rRNA from 1 species